UGAGCAAUCUGCCCUUCUCAUCGGAAUAAGCGUUGGAAACGACGUCUAAUGCCGAAUACGACCUCCUUUCGCAUGAUCGGAGGUGGAAAGCUCCGGCGGAGAAGGAUGAGCUCGCGGCCUAUCAGCUAGUUGGUGAGGUAAUAGCUCACCAAGGGGAUGACGGGUAGCCGGCCUGAGAGGGUGACCGGCCACACUGGGACUGAGACACGGCCCAGACUCCCGUAGGGAGG
rnacentral:rRNA from 1 species